CUUCCAGCCAUCCCACUCGACUGCUCUGCAUUAGUAUCCCUGUUGUGUUGGUGGCUCUGCUGCUGUUGCUGGGACUAUUUCGAUAUCGGAAACAUCAAACAGUCAUCUCAGGUACCAAUAUGGAUAAGAAUGGAAACAAGGAGGAGCAGUUGGUUGUUAC